GACACCAAUAAGGACAUACAGACAUUGCAUUGUUCCCUGUGUAAAAAAAAAAAGAAAUAGGAAAAAUACAGAGAGGCUGUGAGUCAAGGGCUGUUGCAGAGAGAAUAUUUGGCCAUUCACAUCAGUUCCUGCCCCAGUGGAGCUUAAAAUCCCAGAGAGAAGUCCGGAGAGGAGACGCUGUUGAGCACUUCGGAGGCGGGGCUGGGCUCUCAUGGCACUAAACCCCACCCACAAGUAUUGUGAUACGUGGGUCUACAGGAGGCGGCGGGGAUAAAUUAUGAUAAUUUGUGUCAUUUUGUCCCGCCUCCCUGCAUUUGGCGCAACGAUUCCCAGUGAAAUCUCCUUAUCCUACUGACUUCACUAGAAAGUGGGUGGGAUGCGGGAGAUGCGGCCACACCUCUACGGGCGCAGGGGUCUACCUGAACAACUGUGUAACCAGGCAUCCACUCAUCGGGGGUUCAGGCAGAAAGAUAACGUUAUUGUGGAAAUGAUUUUCUAAACACAUGAUAAUAAAUGUAAUUGGAUAACAAAUAGUGAUCUUCUGUGAGCAGCUGACCAGGACCGUCGUGUUCCCUAGCUGCUCAUGGAAUGUGCAUUACUACAUACCUUCCAUUAUUUACCAAUCACACCCAUGCAAUUGACUAAAUCAUUUUUAAACCAGGGCUGUGAGUGCUGCAGUGGAAGCACAGAAGUGGUUUCUCAGACAACUGCCUGCUAAUGACCUGAUAGCCCCGUAACUCCCGGCUGCCGCUAACUCAGGCAGAAAGUUGUUGAUUGCUUAAUUGAAUGUAAAUUUUCUAGCUCCGUUGGUCAAUUAACUGAUCUCUCCAUGACUUUUCCAAUCAAUAAACUAACGCUCUGACAAAACCACCGUCCUAUCAAUAGCAUAUUGUUCCUGGUAUUAGGUGAGAUAGAUUUGCUGAUGGGACAAAUCAGUCACUGCAAACAUUUGGUUAUACGUUCUAAGUUCCAUUAUGUUCUGUAUCACCUGUCACCUUUUCAUGAGAUGUGAUGAUAAUGUAACAGCACGGCUAUCAGAAAACUGGAAUAGACUUAAAUACAAAUCACAUACAUACACAGGGGGAGAUUUAUCAAACCUUGGAAAGAAAUAAAGUGUAGAGCGUUAAACUACCCACUGAUCAGCUCCUGUCAGUUUUCAAAUACAGCCGGUAACAUGGCAGUUAGACGCUGAUUAGUUGGUACUUUAUCUCUCUUCACUUUAUUUCUCCUCAAAGUUUCAUAUACC